UUUUACUGCUCGCACUGCUUGCCAGUGCUAGCAACAAAUAUUGCGGAGCCACCGGAAUAUUUGGCAUGUUGGUAGUUAGCAGUUUCAUAUUACAAGUACAUUUUUAUUUUAAUACUUUUAGUUAAAUUAACGAUAGCAGAGGCCUGGUAUUAGUGGAUGUUCAAAAGUACAACAAACCAGGCAAAUGAAUUGACAGUGCUGCAAUGAAAUAACAGCCAUGAGUCAGAGCGUGACGUAUACAUAUACAGCAUCAAUGAGAUACGGAUUCCAAUGUGCAUGCUUUUACGCAAUGUACUUAUAUAACUAUCAAUUAAUCGCGCAACGUGCGUGUAGUUGUUUUUAUAUAUAGACGUUAGUCUCUCCGCGAUGAUAAGGAAUCGCAUUCAUAACCAUGAUAGCAAACAAGUGCUAUGAGAACACUGUACAUGAUAUUUGGCAAGAAAUGACAAGUGAGGAUAAAAGAUAUGCAGCGGAAUAUUUGAAUGAAACUGACGAAAACAAAGAGAACGCCGUGGCGGAGAUUAAACGCUGGAUCGAAGAAAACGAUAAUUUGCCGACGCAAAUUGAUGAUUUUCUUAUUCUACGUUUUUUGAGGGUUUGCAAAUUUGAUCUCGAGAAAACUAAAGUCAGGAUUCAAAAUUAUAAUAAGCAGCGAUCCAAGUUACCGGAAUGGUACAAAAAUAAAGAUCCAUUUCAAUCGGAACUACAAGAGGUGCUUGAUUUGGGGAUGUUUUUGCCUCUGCGGAAACCGGACAAUAAAGGAAGAUUGAUCAUUCUCAUACGCGGUACUCUGCAUGAUCCAAGAAAGAAUAAGAUAUCAGAUUUAGUUAAGAACUAUAUAUUGGCAAUGGAAGCGGCAGUCAAGUUUUAUCCCGCAAUGUCUGUGUAUGGUUGCUCACUGUUAAUAGACGUAUCUAAUCCAACUAUGCGUCACAUUAUUCAAAUUAAACCCUACGAGUUAAUGAAUGUGGUUCAAAUGUGGCAGAGCUGUUAUCCUAUGAGAUUUCAGAAAAUUAUUCUCUUCAACACGUCAAUAAUCGCCGAUUUUAUUAUAUUCCAGCUAAUAUCUUGCCUGUCGAAUAUGGUGGUACUGAUGAUACACUUCAGGAAUUAACAGAAUUUUGGAAAACAAUUAUCGAAGAAAAUUGCGAUUUCCUUACGAAGGAUGAAAACUACUCAAAAAACUAAAUUUGCAGAGACAGAUUUUAAACAGAUUAUCUAUUAUUAUUGAUAGUGUAAUUAAAUAAAUACAGUUAAGAUAAAUUAUUUAUUAACAAUUAACAAAAGCUAAGAAUUUAUUGGAUUUUAAAAUAAUUUUGUAAGGAAUCGAGCAAAGAAAGGACUGGGAGUUUCUUACCAAUGGCAAAAUAAAAUAACUUUUUACACCAAA
rnacentral:misc_RNA from 1 species